UUUAAUUCAGAGUAAACAGCCAUUUUUUAGGGAGAGCAAAGAGGAUGAAAGGAUCCGAGAUGAGGAGAAGGAAGCUGCCCUUCUGUCAUGGUAUAAAAAAGGAAGAAAUACAUGGUCCACUGGAGAGCUCAGUGAAUCCUGGGAACCUAUUGAGGUUGAUGUUUAACUGGACCUCAAGCCAUUCCUCUCACUGCCCAUCCUCCUAAGUAUGAUGUAUGGCCUGAAGAAAUAAUCAUGGUGGGAACACAGCUUUUCUGAUGUCUGGAAAUUUUUGGAUAAACUAAGGAUUUGGAAGUUCAUCAUUGGAAGUAGGUACAUAAUAUUUACAUUUUUAUAUUCAACGUUAGGUGGGACCCUUGGGUUGCCAAAAUCAUUGCAAAAAAACAUGAAAUUGGAAAACAGAAUUUUUCACUUCACAUUCAGGAAUAUAUAAAGUCACCUAUCAAGGAAUGUACAAUGAGAAACUGUAAUGAA